NNNNNNNNNNGAAUUGCGGGCCCGGGAGAAUUGCGGGCCCGGGCCAUGGCAAAUGCCUCUCGCCAGCUGGCCGGGGUCCAGGAGAGCAGGCAGGGCGCCGGUGCGGCCCGCUCCCCGCUGGCACGCGCAGCCCUGUGCUCCCUGCUCUUUGCCCUCCUCCAAGAGGCCGCCUGCUCCGAACGCCGUCAUGCGGCUCCUGCCUGGGCACCUCGGCCAGGAACACCCGCGACUGCGGCCGGGGCAGCCCCGCCGGGAGCGAACACCCCUGCGGGCCGAGCGUGGCACCUGGGGGAGAGACCUGUCCCCUGGGAUACCCGUAGGGAGCAGCCAGGCUGGAGCCCUGCACCAGGGGACGGUGAUGGGAAAAGCAGCUCCCAGCUGGGAUCAGAGACUCCCGCUGCGACUCCCUGCUCAGCCAGCACGAACCCAACAGCAACAGGCACCUCGGGUCGCUGGGUUCACCCCCGUGACGAGGACAGCGGCCGUGUCCUCCCAGUGCCGCCUGCCUGGGCUGCCCGGGAAGCUCCCACAUCCCGGGAGCAGCCUGGCAGCGAGGCUGGGGCUGGCCCCAAAGCCUGUCACCCACGGCUGGCCGGGAGGCCUCGCGGGGCAGCGCAGGGCGAAGGCGAGCGCCGCGGUGUCGAUGCUCGGCAGCAGCUGAGGGGCAUCACGGGGCGGCUGUGCCUGCUCCGGGCUAUUUUUUCCCCUCAGCUGCUGCGGCAGGAGCCUGAGGCUGAGGAGGGGAGCCCGGCUCAGAGCAAACAGCGUCCGAGCGGCGAGUGCCUGGCGGGAGGGAUGGGGGAGCAGGGCCGGAGGGGGAGCAGGGCCUGGGGACCUUCCCCGUGGGGAACGGAGGCAGAAACGGCGGAGGGAGAGGAUCCCGCGAGCCCCAGCCUGCUCCAAGCCAGCRCUGCCUCCCACGCCAUGACUGUGGCUGCAGCUGGCAAGAGGCAGGUCCCGGCAGGCUGUGGCCCUGCCAGCUGGGAAACGCGUCCCCGGAGCAAAGCAGCAGGGCAGCCGUGGUGGGAGCUGCACCAGGUUGCAGGGCUGCAGGGAUGGGGGCUCAUGCAGCUGCUGGUGACCCGGACUGAGCAGCAGCACUUGGGGGGGUCCUGGACACCCCUGGGGUGCCAAGUGCUCCCCCUUCCAGCCCAUCUCGCCUGGACCCAGCUUGGGAAUCGGGGGAUGGUACGGGCACAGCCUGCCUCGCGUCUCUCCCAGCCUGGAGACCCUGUCCAAGCCCAGGAGCCAGCACUUCACUGAAGCAUCCUUCAGGAAGGGCCCCGCGCCUGGAGCCGAAGCCAUGGAGGAAGGACUUUUGUUGCAGUGUUUAACCCCACGUGCUGCCCGCAGGACCAGGGCCUCGCUGCCCRUUUGAAACGGGCUCCCCAUCCCCGACCUCGGCUCCCGCUCCACUGCCGUCGCUCCGUCGUGACCCCCUCGGACACCUGAUACUUUAACUCUGGCAUCAGAUGUCACCGCGAUUGAGGCACAUUGCGGGUUUUGUUCAGCRGAACAGAGCGAGCCCUGUGCUCCCCUUCGGUUCGGAAAUCUUCUCGGCAGCCUCAGCCUCUUCCCAAGCAGCGGGAAAAUCCCUCCCUGCCGCUCCCGGGCGCAGACUUCCUGGUUCGCGCAUCAGGGAUCACAAAGCACGACCCGGCCCCGGCCCCGACCCCGGCCCC
rnacentral:lncRNA from 1 species